rnacentral:rRNA from 1 species
AUGAACGCUGGCGGCGUGCCUAAUACAUGCAAGUCGAGCGAACAGACGAGGAGCUUGCUCCUCUGACGUUAGCGGCGGACGGGUGAGUAACACGUGGAUAACCUACCUAUAAGACUGGGAUAACUUCGGGAAACCGGAGCUAAUACCGGAUAAUAUAUUGAACCGCAUGGUUCAAUAGUGAAAGACGGUUUUGCUGUCACUUAUAGAUGGAUCCGCGCCGCAUUAGCUAGUUGGUAAGGUAACGGCUUACCAAGGCAACGAUGCGUAGCCGACCUGAGAGGGUGAUCGGCCACACUGGAACUGAGACACGGUCCAGACUCCUACGGGAGGCAGCAGUAGGGAAUCUUCCGCAAUGGGCGAAAGCCUGACGGAGCAACGCCGCGUGAGUGAUGAAGGUCUUCGGAUCGUAAAACUCUGUUAUUAGGGAAGAACAAAUGUGUAAGUAACUAUGCACGUCUUGACGGUACCUAUUCAGAAAGCCACGGCUAACUACGUG